rnacentral:rRNA from 1 species
UACGGGGGGAGCAAGCGUUGUUCGGAUUUACUGGGCGUAAAGGGCGCGUAGGCGGCCACCGCAAGUCGACUGUGAAAUCUCCGGGCCUAACCCGGAAAGGUCAGCCGAUACUGCGGGGCUAGAGUGCAGAAGGGGCAACUGGAAUUCUCGGUGUAGCGGUGAAAUGCGUAGAUAUCGAGAGGAACACCUGCGGCGAAGGCGGGUUGCUGGGCUGACACUGACGCUGAUGUGCGAAAGCUAGGGGAGCGAACGGG